rnacentral:rRNA from 1 species
AGUGAACGCUGGCGGUAGGCCUAACACAUGCAAGUCGAACGGCAGCACAGUAAGAGCUUGCUCUUACGGGUGGCGAGUGGCGGACGGGUGAGGAAUACAUCGGAAUCUACUUUUUCGUGGGGGAUAACGUAGGGAAACUUACGCUAAUACCGCAUACGACCUACGGGUGAGAGCAGGGGAUCUUCGGACCUUGCGCGAUUGAAUGAGCCGAUGUCGGAUUAGCUAGUUGGCGGGGUAAAGGCCCACCAAGGCGACGAUCCGUAGCUGGUCUGAGAGGAUGAUCAGCCACACUGGAACUGAGACACGGUCCAGACUCCUACGGGAGGCAGCAGUGGGGAAUAUUGGACAAUGGGCGCAAGCCUGAUCCAGCCAUACCGCGUGGGUGAAGAAGGCCUUCGGGUUGUAAAGUCCUUUUGUUGGGAAAGAAAAGCAGCAGGUUAAUACCCCGCUGUUCUGACGGUACCCAAAGAAUAAGCACCGGCUAACUUCGUG